GUGGGGAAUCUUAGACAAUGGGCGCAAGCCUGAUCUAGCCAUGCCGCGUGAGCGAUGAAGGCCUUAGGGUUGUAAAGCUCUUUCAGCUGGGAAGAUAAUGACGGUACCAGCAGAAGAAGCCCCGGCUAACUCCGUGCCAGCAGCCGCGGUAAUACGGAGGGGGCUAGCGUUGUUCGGAAUUACUGGGCGUAAAGCGCACGUAGGCGGAUCAGAAAGUCAGAGGUGAAAUCCCAGGGCUCAACCUUGGAACUGCCUUUGAAACUCCUGAUCUUGAGGUCGAGAGAGGUGAGUGGAAUUCCGAGUGUAGAGGUGAAAUUCGUAGAUAUUCGGAGGAACACCAGUGGCGAAGGCGGCUCACUGGCUCGAUACUGACGCUCAUGCACGAAAGCGUGGGGAGCAAACAGGAUUAGAUACCCGAGUAGUCC
rnacentral:rRNA from 1 species